rnacentral:lncRNA from 1 species
AUGGUUCAUGACAGUAUGGACACCAGUGAUUACUGUGCUUUCGGUACCUUCGCUCUCUGGGCCUUCAGCGGAGGCAUUUCCACCAAUGAGCGAGUCAUCAAUGUUACCUUAUGUCCUAUUGCCCAUCUUCCCCUCCACCUCCAGGCACAGUCCGUCCGCGAUCUCCCGGAUCUUGUAGAUGUCGGAGAACAACUCAUCGUGGCUGAUGAGGUCCCGGUAGAUAAUCAUGAUGGCGACUGAAGGGAGACGACGGAGCGAGCGCCGUGCAGCCGGAGCGGCGCUCGGGGGGAGGGGGGAGCGGGCGGAAAAGCUAUUUAUUUUUUUUGAGAUGGAAUCUCACUCUGUCGCGCAGGCUGGUAUGCAGUGGUGCAAUCUCGGCUCACUGCAGCCUCAACUUCCUGGUUCCAGUGACCCUCCCACUUCAGCCUCACAAGUAGCUGGAACCACAGGCGUGUAACACCAUACCCAGAUGAUUUUUGUAUUUUAGGUAGAGGUGGGGUUUCCCUAUGUUGCCCAGACUGGUCUUGAACUCUUGAGCUCGAGUGAUCCACCUGCCUUGGCCUCCCAAAGAGCUGGGAUUACCCGCCUGAGCCACUGCACCUAGCCAGUUUGGCAGUGUUUUCUUAUUUCUUUUUCUUUCUUUUCUUUUUUUUUGAGAUGGAGUCUCACUCUGUUGCCCAGGCUGGAGUGCAGUGGUGCAAUCUCGGCUCACAGUCACCUCCGCCUCCCGGGUUCAAGCGAUUUCCCUGUCUCAGCCUCCCUAGUAGCUGGGAUUACAGACACCCACCACGACGCCGGGCUAAUUUUCUUUAUUUUUAGUAGAAACAGGGUUUCACCAUCUUGACCAGACUGGUCUCGAACUCCUGACCUCGUGAUCCACCCGCCUUGGCCUCCCAAAGUGCUGGGAUCACAGGCGUGAGCCACUGCACCCGGCCGGCAGUGUUUUCUUGAGAAUUUUUUAAAUCAAUGUUCAUAAGCAAUAUUGGUCAGCUGUCUUCUUGUCCUGCCUUUGUCUGGCCCUAGUAUCAAGGCAAUGCUGUUCUCAUAGAGUGAGUUGGAAAGUAUUUCCUCCUCCGCCGGGCGCGGCGGCUCACGCCUGUAAUCCCAGCACUUUGGGAGGCCAAGGCGGGCGGAUCACGAGGUCAGGAGAUCGAGACCAUCCUGGCUAACACGGUGAAACCCUGUCUCUACUAAAAAUACGGCAAAUUAGCUGGGCAUUGUGGCGGGCGCCUGUAGUCCCAGCUACUCGGGAGGCUGAGGCAGGAGAAUGGCAUGAACCCAGGAGGUGGAGCUUCCAGUGAGCUGAGAUCCUGCCACUGCACACUCCAGCCUGGGAGACAGAGCGAGACUCCGUCCGAAAAAAAAAUAUAUAUAUAUAUUUCCUCCUCUUCAAGUUUUUGAAAGAGUUUGCAAAGGAUUGGCAUUAAUUUUUCCUUUAAAUGUCUGGUAGCAUUCACUGGUAAAGUCAUACAGUCAAGGGUAUUUCUUUGUUGGGAAGAUUUUAAUUAGUAAUUUAAUCUUCUUACUAGUUAUAGGCUUACCCAUAUUUUCUUUUUCUUUUACUUUUUUUUUUUUUGAGACGAAGUCCCACUCUUUCCCCCCCACCUCCCCCCCACCCCCCCCACCCCCACCCCCCGCUGGAGUGCAAUGGUGCUAUCCCAGCUCACUACAACUUCUGCCUCCCGGGUUCAAGUGAUUCUCCUGCCUCAGCCUCCUGAGUUGCUGGGAUUGUAGGCGCCUGCCACCAUGCCCAGCUCAUUUUUGUAUUUUUAGUAGAGAUGGGGCUUCACCAUGUUGGCCAGGCUAGUCUUGAACUCCUGACCUUGGGUGAUCCGCCCACCUCAGACUCCCAAAGUGCUGGGAUUACAGGCGUGAGCCACCACACCUGGCCAGUUUAGCCAUAUUUUUUAUUUCUGUGUGAUUCAGUCUUGGUAGGUUUGUGUUUCUAGAGAUUUGCCAUCUCAUUUGGUUAUUCAAUUUGCUGGUGUACAUAUGUUUAUAGUAUUCUCUUAUAAUCACCUUAAUUGCUGUAAAGUCACAAUAAUGCCCUCAUUUUCAUGUCUGAUUUUGGCUAUUUGAGUCUUCUUUUGUUUCUUAGUCAAUCUAGCUAAAAAUUUGUCAAUUUAGCUGAUCUGUAAAAAAAAUUUUAAUUUUACCUAUUCUCUUAUUUUUCUUUAUUUCCACUCUAAUCUUUCGUUUCUUGUAUUCUGCUAGGUUGGGGUUAGCUCUUCUUUUUCUAGAUCCUUUAAAAUGUAUAGUUAGGUGACUGAUUUGAGAUCUUUCUUACUUUUAUUUUUUAUUUUUAUUUUUUUUUGAGAUGGAGUCUCACUCUGUCACCCAGGCUGGAAUGCAGUGGUGCAAUCUCGGCUCACUGCAACCUCCCUCUCCCAGAUUCAAGCGAUUCUACUGCCCCAGUCUCCCAAGUAGCUGGGAUUACAGGCCUGCACACCAUGCCUGGUUAAUUUUUGUAUUUUAGUAGUGAUGCGCUUUUGCCAUGUUGGUCAGACUGGUCUUGAACUCCUGACCUCAGGUGAUCCUCCUGCUUUGGCAUCCCAAAAUGCUGGGAUGUUGGCAUGAGCCACCACUCCUGGCUUUCUUAUUUUUAAAUGUAGAUGAUUACAGCUAUACACUUCCCUCUGAGUGCUGCUUUAACUGCAUCCCAUAAGUUCUGGUAUGCUGUGUUUUCAUUUUCAUUCAUCUCAAAGUGUUUUCUAAUUUCCUGUAUGAUUUCAUCUUCAACCACUGAUUAAGAGUGUGUUCACUUUCCAUAUAUUUGUGAGUUUUCAAGUUUUCCUUAUUACUGAUUUCUAGUUUCAUUCAUUGUGAUUAUAAAAUAUUUAGCACUUUGCAUACUUGCAAACUUUUAAAACAUUAAUAUUUGUUUUGCAGCCUAAUACACUGUAUACUCUGGACAAUAUCCCACAUGCUCUUGACAAGAAUGUGUAUUUUGCUGUUGUUGGGUGGGUGUCUGUAAAUGUCCAUUAGAUCUAAUUGGAUUAUCAUGUUGCUCAAGUGCUCUCUUUCCUGUUGAUCUGAUCUCUGUAUUAUUAACAUUGAGGUAGUGAGGUCUCCAAUGAUCAUUGUGAAACUCUAUUUCUCCUUUCAAUUCUAUCCUUUUUUGCUUCAUAGGUUUUGGUGCUCUGUUGUUAGGUGCAUAUAUGUUUUAAAUUAUUAUAUCUUCUUGUUGGAUUAAUCUUUUUAUCAGUGUAGAAUUCCCUUGUCUCUCAUAACCAUUUUUGGCUUA